UACGUAGGGUGCGAGCGUUGCCCGGAUUUAUUGGGCGUAAAGGGCGCGUAGGCGGCCACGCACGUCCGUUGUGAAAUCGCCCGGCUCAACUGGGCGGGGUCGGCGGAUACGGCGUGGCUGGAGCAAGCUAGGGGGCAAUGGAAUUCCCGGUGUAGUGGUGGAAUGCGUAGAUAUCGGGAGGAACACCAGUGGCGAAGGCGGUUGCCUGGAGCUUUGCUGACGCUGAGACGCGAAAGCGUGGGGAGCGAACAGG
rnacentral:rRNA from 1 species